GUGUGAUGUCAUCAGAGGAGGGUGGAGCUUUGUGGCUAGGGCAGUCCUCCACUUCCGGAGAUCCAGGCUCCAGAAACAGAGGAAUUUCAGGCUUCAGGAUUUCAGAGGCCAAAUUCCAUCUGGCCUAGUCUGCCUGGCUCACGAUAAGAAAACCGAAGUUCACCAAAGUAAAGUGACUUGUCCAAGACCUCACAGCUAUCAAGUAGAGAAACUGGGAUUUGGAUGCAGGUCUGUCUGACUCCAGACACCGCGAUCUUAACCAUCGAGGCAGAGUUUCUACCUUUUAGGAAUUUCCAAAUAGAGGAGACAACCUCAGGACUUGAACAAUGCAGAAACACAGUCAAAAAUACAAAGAGCUAGGGAGUGAUGCCUAUAUUGUGCUGUGAGGGUUAAUAUCGCUUCCUGUCAAAGGACAAUCUAAGGGAGGUGAUAUUUGUUAAUAUACAAGGUUUUUUUUAAAAGAAGGGGUCAGCUUUGAACACAGUAGUGAUCGCAACUGGGGAGAAGAGCAACCAGGAAGAGGAUAUAUCAUAAGCAAAAGCACUGGUGUGGGAAAGAAUAGGGAUUUGGUGGGAAGUGUGAACGAUACCACUGGUUGGUGUGAAAAUACAGGCAAACCCGAAUAGCUCAUGUCCUCUCAAAUGUUUGUUCAGAAGCCACCAUCUCAGUGAUGCCUAAGCUGACAAUCCCAUUUACAGAUGCAUCAAAAUUUGCCCUCCUUGUUCCUCUUUUCUGCUCUAUUUUUUCUCCAAAGAACUUUUCACCUCUAAUAGACAAUGUACCUUCCCUGCCCAUCCCCUGCCCCCCAAUUCUUAAAUAUCUCCACCCACUAGAACAUAAGCUUUAAGAAGGCAGGAAUUUUUGUCAGCUUCACUCCUUGAAUUGCCAGGGUGUAUCACAGGACCUUGAGUGUGUUGAGGGGUGAUAGGUGCUCAAUAAAUAUCUAUCAAAAUUUGAA
rnacentral:lncRNA from 1 species